GUGCAUUGUGGGUGGCGAGCGGCUGGUUUGGAUUCCCGCUCACGGCCACCGUCAGUGGCGAGCGAAAGCUUCUGAAGCGGCGGCUCGCUGGGCCUCCUCUACGUCGACUCAGCCUGAAGGCGGGUGUCUCAGAUUGCCAGCACCAUGUGAUGGGAGCUCCAGGGCAUGCUGCGUGCUCGCCAGGAGGGGCUGGGCAAGAUGGCGUAGUCGCUGGAGCAGCUGCGGGCGCGGCACCGCUGCUCUCACCCUGGCGGAGUGCAGCAACACAGUGGGGUGGCACCAGCGGGACACUCUGGACAACGCAGCCAAGGCUGAUGCCCCGCUCGCCCGACUCGUUGAGAGGCUUG